AUUGAACGCUGGCGACAUGCCUUACACAUGCAAGUCGAACGGCAGCACGGGUGCUUGCCCCUGGUGGCGAGUGGCGAACGGGUGAGUAAUACAUCGGAACAUGUCCUGUAGUGGGGGAUAGCCCGGCGAAAGCCGGAUUAAUACCGCAUACGAUCUACGGAUGAAAACGGGGGACCUUCGGGCCUCGCGCUAUAGGGUUGGCCGAUGGCUGAUUAGCUAGUUGGUGGGGUAAAGGCCUACCAAGGCGACGAUCAGUAGCUGGUCUGAGAGGACGACCAGCCACACUGGGACUGAGACACGGCCCAGACUCCUACGGGAGGCAGCAGUGGGGAAUUUUGGACAAUGGGCGAAAGCCUGAUCCAGCAAUGCCGCGUGUGUGAAGAAGGCCUUCGGGUUGUAAAGCACUUUUGUCCGGAAAGAAAUCCUUGGCCCUAAUACGGUCGGGGGAUGACGGUACCGGAAGAAUAAGCACCGGCUAACUACGUG
rnacentral:rRNA from 1 species